UUUCAGACUGACAAUGUCGGUUCGGAAGCGAACCUCAAUCCAGGACUGGAUCCAGGAUUAUUACAGUCCAGUUCUCUCAGUUCUAGCUAGUCAGGAUGUCGAAAUUAUUGCUGGGAAAAAUAAUUUAACAUUCACUGAGAUUCUUCAACCCUUUUCUAAACUUGGAACCGAUGUGACUAUCAAGGAUGUGGACGGAUCUAAUCACAAUGUUCCGAACCUUCAUUUGAUCCUCCAGGAUCUUAACCGGGAUUCUCCGAAGCUGAUCAACCAAAAGCUGCUCCUGGAGAGGUUGAGCGAGGAGAACUGCGAGGAGAGCGAGAUGGUGACUAAACAUUAUGAUAAGAUCUCCCUUGAUGCUCCGGGAUUCACGCCCUGGUUUGAUCUCUGGAUGAAACUCUACCUCCAAACCCUGCCUGUGGUUGAGCAUGAAUAUCUGAAACAUCAGUUUGGAUGCAUCUUUGCCGUCUCCACCCAGUGUUCCAAUCCUGUAGAACAGCUCCGAACCUUGUCUCAGGUUCAGCAUAAGUAUCAACAUGAUAGGGUUGGUUCCAAUACUCCAUAUUUCUCCCCGAACAUAUUAAAAUACUAUAUCCUUGUUCAUGAUGUCAACAGUGGAAUCACAGAUAUGCAGGCAGAGAACAUGUUUACUCAGAUUCAGAACGCUUUCGAUGCAAACAAUUGCCAUCUACUCCACCUCAACUCUAGAAAUAUUAUGGAUGAGUCCUCACCUUCUCCCAACCCUGUAGCUGAGAACUGGAUUCAGUUCAGUCAUAGAUUUACAACUGUUGAACUGAGAAGAUGUAGCUCCCAGCCUGUUAGUUCUCCGAAUCCUGUAACUAGGAUUGUAAACGUGGAUAAAGCUACUAAAGAUUCCUUGAGUUUAGAACAUCCUUUAGCUGUUCAGGAACCUGUUGACUCCCCAGCUUUGCAAACAAAUCAAAUUAUUUUAACACAGGCGACAUCUGCUUCAAUAGCCAAGUGUUUGAGUCCAAGUGAUCUGGAUAGAAUCAGGAGUAUGAUGAGAGAAUUAGUUCUCAAGGUGGUCAUACCUUUCGCUGAGAAGCAGAUGAAACAAAUCCACGAAAUUGUAGUUAACAGGAAAUCCCGGAGUUUAUUCUCCGGAGCUAAACGAUGGUUUGGGAGUAACAAAACCAACCCAGGAGCAGCAGGGAACAGUGUUAUAUACAGCAAGGAUGCACCUGAACUCCAGGUGCGUAAGCUGGCAGAUUUAUACUUUCUAAUGAAAAUGUAUAAACAAUCCUACAAUCUUUACUACACAGCAAAAAAAGAUUUUCAGGUUGAUGAAGCCUGGCCCUACUAUGCUCCUGCUGUAGAGUUAACAGCUCUAGCGAUGUUCAUGAUAUCUCUCUCAGGAGCAGAUCAAGGGAAGAAAUAUCGUCCUGAUUAUAUGGAAGAUGCAAUAACUAAAUAUCUGACUCUGUGCCAAACUCCAGAGUUCGCCAUCAGGGCUACGCUUUUCGAUGCGCUGUGCUUGAAGCAGCAAGGGAUGUUUGUUGAAGCCUCCAAGAGCUAUAUAAGGAUGACGAAUGAGCUUAGCGAUCUCAGGUCUGCUAUGCUCCUUGAACAAGCUGGAUACUGUUUCCUUCUCUCCAAUCCUCCAAGUGUACGGAAAUACGGAUUUCACAUAGUCCUCUCAGGAUACAGGUUUACUAAAACAGGAAGCUGUAAGAAACAUGCGGCUCGUCUGUAUAGACAAGGAGCACAGGUUUACGACGGGAAAGGCUGGCUACUGUCAUCAGAACACAUUCUCUACUCUCUUGGUCACCAGAAGUUCAUGCUAAAAGACUUCUCCACCUCCUCGGAGUUCUUCAACAACCUGAUGUCCGUCUCCACCGGGCGGAACCCCCUUCAGCAGAUGGUUCACUUGAGGGAGUACUUCCUGGUUCACCACGCCCGGCACAAGGAAUACCAGUCCGUGGUUGUUCUCACAGUUCCUAAGAUAAUAUGCAAACAGCUUUCUGUCUCCUUGAACAAUAAUAUGUCUCAGAUACCUAAACAUUGGCAGGCUGUAGAGCGGUGUAUAGUAGAGGGUAUUACUGGUCAAGAAAUUCUUGUUCACUCACAAACCUCACAACAACUUUUUACAGAGAACACAGAAAACCAUCUUACACCUCAGGGCGUGGUUGGAGAAAAGAUCUUUGUGACCGUUCCUUUCGAGAACUCGUUUAACAACCCCCUGGUGCUGAGGAGGUCGAUGUUGCUCUGGAGGUUUACAACAAGUCAUGGGGAGGUGUUCUCCAACGAUAAGCAGGAGAAGACCACCUCUGCUAGUAUACAAGCAAUCCCUCUGGAGUCUGUUAUUAUAGAGAGUAACUCCAGUAGGAGUGUAGUUUUCGAGAUCUCCGGUAGUUCUCCGGGAGUUCUCAAUAUUAUCGGUGUCGAGUAUUCUCUCAAACCUAGUUUUCCUGAUCGGGAACCCACUGAUCACGAGAUCAGGGGCAAGCAAUAUUUUCAGAUUGUUGGUCGCAGACAAAAUGCAAUUAAAGAUCAUAAAACAAAAAUAGUUCAAGCUCAAGAUCAUCGUUUAACAGUUAAUAUUCGGGAUCCGCAACCUCUCCUCACGGCGUCUCUGAGCUUCCCAGAGAAUCUUCUAGCAGGUGAGUUGCGUUGCAUAGAGUUAGAUAUAAAGAACGUUGGCAGCAUGGGACUCAAGAACCUUCAUAUAGUCUCAACCGUUCCUGGUAUCUUCUCAUUUGGAAAACCCCGGUCCCAAUCCAUGUUUGAGUAUCCUUUACUGGAAAAACAGUAUCCUCCUCUUAGGAUUCUGAAGGAGGACGGUUCAGUGUCACAGACCUGUCUUGAUAUAUUAUCGGUUCCUCUGUCUGAAUCUCUAGCUGGAGAACUUAAAUCUCAAUCCUCGGCUAAACUACCAGUCUGGAUUAAAGGUCCAUCAACUGGUCCCGAGGUGGUUGAGGACGUAUAUCUAUAUUAUGAGAACUCUGACACUCCGGAUAAGAAGCUCCCUUACCGUAUUCUACAUAUACCCCUGAGAUUACGAAUCCUCCCUUCUCUCCAGUGUUCUGCUCUCUCCUACCCAACAGCAGUUCACGAGAAUAUUGAUACUUCAAACCUUAUACUCAGGUUGAAGAAUGUGACCAAAGAUGGGACAGGAUGUUUAGAGAAUAUUCAAAUAUCUCAGGUAACCCUUGUGAGUGUAGAACGUGAGCUAUCAAGUAUAGAAUCUACUGGAACCUGUGCUAAUGUAUCCAGGGGGGAUUCAGUAUCAAUAGCUCUCAAAUCUGUGAUAGUAGAGAAGUCCAGUGUGUUGGAUGAGCUAGUGAACCUACCGAUGAACCAGAACAAGGAGUUGAAGGGAGGAUCCUUGCAUUUCUCAAGUUUAGCUACUCCUCAGAACAAGGGACACUCAAUCUCUUCUCCGCCAUUCGUGGAUUUUCUUAAACCUUUUUUCAGCUUCAACCUUGGACGGAAAACUAACCCACCAUUUUUAAAAACUGAUAUUGUGGUUUUAAUGUGGAGAGGAGUAGGCUCCCAACCCGUCCUAGGACAAACCAUUCUCCUCGUCAAAUCUAAACCAUUCGACUCCAGGACGGAGGAGACUGAGAUACCCUUCCCUCACUACCCUGUUAAUGUAGAAGUAGAGUAUGAUAGAAAAAUUUUGCAUGAUUUCUACAGAAAUCCGUUUGCCGGAGUCAGGGUUCGGGUUGAGUUCUCAGGACAGGACGGAGAAAAAAGCGGAGAAGGAGGAAUCUUGUUACAGUUUUGCUUACAAGAUGUUGAAAGAGGAGUUCGAUGGACCGGAGUUACAGAUGGGAUGAGAUGGAUUAAACAGGAUGAAUUAGUUCUAAAUCUUGGAGUAAAUGUAUCUAGACCAGGACUCUUCCAUCUACGGAACCUCAAGUUUAGAGCUGUUAAAUUGAAAAAUUUUGAUCUAAGAUAUUUUGAAACCCAUGAUGAACCCUGGAGCUGUGUGGAUUUGAGCUUUACUGUACACCAUGAGUAAUUAUUAUGUAAUUACAUAUUUAUUUUUCUGUACUGUACUGUACUGUUCUGUGCUGUACUGCAUAGUUUAAACAUGUUCAGAUCUCUCCUGAAGAUCAUUGUCUAAGGGUAAAAAAAUUCAUAAAUUUGAUUUUUGUAACAUGAUAUAAAAAUGUUAAAAUCCUUCUGAAUAAUAAACCAAAAAACGGCUAGAUGAAUCAUGUUGAUUGUUCACUUUCGAUGCGUAAUCGUCUACUACAAUGCCUUGUGAGGAAUAGUUUUGUUUUUUUUAAAGUUAAUUUUGUCGAUAUACAUUGUACAGUGAAAAACGUACUGUUGUCUAGUCGCUUAUGUACUUCCGAUAAUACCUUUUGAGAAAUUGUACUGCACUCGGUGUUUAAAUUCGUUUAUCUAUGAUUUCCAUAUUUAUAUUUGAUACCAGUAAUUAUAACUAGAAAUCUAGAAGUAAAGAUGCAUUUUAUUAGGAAGUUUUUCCCAUUUAUAAGUUUUAACAUGUUAACAUCAGAAUCCUGCAACUCACGUGUACUCUACUCCAUUCCUAUAUCCUAGUCCGAUCCUAUAUCCUACUCAAAUCCUAUAUCUUUCUCCAAUCCUAUAUCCUACUCAAAUCCUAUUUAUUUUUCCAAUCCUAUAUCCUACUCAAAUCAUAUAUCUUUCUCCAAUCCUAUAUCCUACUCCAAUCCUAUAUCCUACUCCAAUCCUAUAUCUUACUCAAAUCCUAUAUUCUUCUCUUCCUUUAUCUUACUGUAAUCCUAUAUUCUACUCCGAUACGUUAUCCUACUCCAAUAUCCUAUAAUAUCCUACUCCAAUCCUAAAUCCUAUCUCAAUCUUAUAUCCCGACUCCAAUCAUUUAUCUAACUCCAAUCCUAUAUCCUACUGCAAUCAUAUCCUACUCCAAUCUUGUAUUCUACUUCAAUUUUAUAUCCUCCAAUCCUUUAUCCUAUUCCAACCCAAUUAAGCGUACUCAAAUCCUAUAUUUUACUCCAUCCUACUCCAACAUGUAUACACAUCCUUAAAUCAAUCCCGUUUCAUACUUAUAUAUUCUUUGUGAGGCUUAUCCUUUGUGGUUAACCUUGAAUAUCAAUCCAAUUUUGUUUUAUGUCCUGUAAUCAACUGAACCAACAAGGAUGAUGAGUAUGACGAGGUUGUGUGAUAAGUAUAUAAUGUUUCUAAUCUGUGUUGUGAACAGUGUUAUACCUGCUUUCCUUUGUCAAUAUACUUGAUUCAACACUGCAAA